CUCAGAAUCAAGAAAUGGAUGAGGACUUUUGAAAUUCUUAAACAGCAAAGUACAGAAAAUAUCUAAGCGAAGCCAAGCCAAUUCAGACUUGUAUUGAAAUACUACUAACAAUAGAAAGGAAAAAACACCUGAACAUAAAAACUGAUUCUGGAGUCUUCGCCAUGUCCAUAGCUUCAUCAAAGCAAAGCUUCCCAACAAAUGCUCUCUCACCGACCCCAAAACCACGGACAAAGACUCUUUGUACUUCUGUUGCAAAUUCCAACCAGAUGAUCACAAAAAUUCUACCAGGACAAAUAUUUAUAUCAAUCCACAGGGUGCCCCUCUGGUUGGUGGAUAUGUUUUGGCUAUGGUGUGCCAUACUAUGGUGGCUGUGGUUGUUCCCCGUUUUCCUUCUUUGCUCUUGGUCCAAGCAUUGUUGUUGGCAUAGGAGGAGGAUUCGAUCUUUUGGUUAUAUUUAUGUUUAUUGGUAGUGGUGCUGCUGUUGUGAGAAGAUUCUUUGGGUCGAAAGGCAACGAUGAGUACUAAUAUUGUCAAAUGAAACUUUGUUUAAACUUUGAUAUGGUGAAUAUAGAAUGUCCAGCCAACAAGACAUUUCAGCUAGCAAUGCAGUACUUUGAAAUCUCAGUGUUGUACUUCUAUUACCAUGUAUUAUGAUUAUGUUUAUGAAGAGAACAAUCUUGUAGC